GGGACAUCCCUUUAGGAGUAAAGAUUCAUCGGCCAUGGAUGAGGAUGCGUCCGAUUAGCUGGACGGCGGGGUAACGGCCCACCGUGGCGACGAUCGGUAGGGGUUCUGAGAGGAAGGUCCCCCACACUGGAACUGAGACACGGUCCAGACUCCUACGGGAGGCAGCAGUGAGGAAUAUUGGUCAAUGGUCGGAAGACUGAACCAGCCAAGUAGCGUGAGGGAUGACUGCCCUAUGGGUUGUAAACCUCUUUUAUUGGGGAACAAAUUGGGCCACGUGUGGUCCUUUGCGUGUACCCUAUGAAUAAGCAUCGGCUAAUUCCGUGCCAGCAGCCGCGGUAAUACGGAAGAUGCGAGCGUUAUCCGGAUUUAUUGGGUUUAAAGGGAGCGUAGGCGGGCUGUUAAGCCAGCGGUCAAAUGUCAUGGCCCAACCUUGGCAUGCCGUUGGAACUGGCAGUCUUGAAUGCGCGCAAGGAAGAUGGAAUUCGUCGUGUAGCGGUGAAAUGCUUAGAUAUGACGAAGAACUCCGAUUGCGAAGGCAGCCUUCUGGAGCGUGAUUGACGCUGAGGCUCGAAAGCGCGGG
rnacentral:rRNA from 1 species